AGCUCGCGCGGGAGGGGCGGGGGCUCCGUCCCGGCCUGUUGUGGGGCCGAGCGCGGGCGGGAGCGAGGGUGUCUGAGUCAGAGCUGCAUCCUCCGAGGAAUAAACGCCAAAACUCCCUCCUCGGCCGCUCUCACACCCCCAACCUUCGGCUUCUUCCUCAUGACCAUCGAUGCUCUCGGCAUACGUGUUCUUUAUGAAUCUCAAACARCACAUUUCGGCCCAAACUGCACGAAAAGCCGGGCACACUCGUCGGAUCUCACAAACGCAGAAGAACUGACUGAGGGGCGGGGAAGAGGGGAGCGAAAAAGGAGCGGGAGUUUUUGCAGAUCUGCUUAGGCGGUUUUGACUGAAACUCAAUAACUGACACUCGAGGCUGCGAAUCUUCCCCGAAGCGUUUAGGACUCAUAUAUAAGGCAAGUGGGAGAAAGCUUCUUUCCUUUAAGCGAGAGGGACAGCACUCACUGAAGGCGCUUCUGUUCUGCAGGGAACGAGACAAGCAGUGAACAAGCCUCGUUUGCCCUUUAGGGAACAGCACUCGGGGAGCAAGAAUGGCGCUCUUCCAUCCAGACCAGCAGGCGCUGUCAAAGCCGGGAGCUCGCUCAGCCUUUCAGAGCAGACGCAGUCUCUGCUAUUCGUAAUGCUCCCGUCUUCCUGCCACCAUUUCUCCUCCCAGAUCCCGCUCUACCCGUACGCCGCCCUGCCUCCCCUGCCCGGCUUCAGCCCCUCCAGCGAUACGGCUGAUUGAGGGAGGGGAGGUGGCGGCUGGGGUUUCGUUUGACGCCCACCAGGGGCUGAGCGAGCCUCCUUCAGUGCGCAAACUCGGGGCACCAGAUAAAAGCUGGGCUGGCAGCUCUUACCCUGCCUCGAUGGAGCCGCCACAUUCGGGUGACUGGAGAAGCAGUUAGCAGCAGCGCCAUAGACUAGCGUCCCCCCACACCUUGAGCACAGAGAGUUUGGGGCUCUAAACAGCUGCUGCUGCGGCAAGAGGGAGCCGAGGGCGCUUGGCUGGGGCUGCUCGCUCGGGUUCUGCCUGUUGUUGCGCGAAAUGGCGGCUGGCGUCUUGCGCCGGGGCUGUGCGGAGACGAGCGGGGAACGAGCGAGAGGGGAGCAACUCGUGCCUGCCUUUGUAACUGCGUCAGUACAAGAUGGCGCAGGGUGUCCCUGGAGAGGGAAGGGAGUUGCACGUCCGCCGGAGGUCAUGUGACCGCGUUGCAUUCCUGUGGGGUUUGGCUGCGGACCAAGCUGGCUUAGGCGGUGGCGGCGGCUGCCCGGGAGAGCCCGGGCUUCCCUCCCCCUCCUCCCGCACAACGUCGUCCGUCCCGCGCUGGUUCCCUUCCCCCAUCAGCCUUAUGCACGAGGGUGUAGCUGCUGCCGAGGAAGGUUCUCGCUUCUCUUCUUACUCUCCACCCACCUCCAGGGUGUAGCUGCUCUUGGGGGAAGCUUUCCAUUUCGCCCCCUCUCUGCGCAAGGCUUUACCCACCGCCAGGGAAAGUUCCCCCUGGGCGCCUUCUGGCUCCGCCCGAGCGUGGGAAGCCGGGUUCGCUCGCGGUAGUGCCGCCCGUUCGGUGCGAACGCACUCUGCUCUAAGUUAAGUUCCCGGGUUUAUGGAGUGUUUCUUGCCGGAUCAGUCGUUUAAAACUAUGUCUAAAUGACCUCAUUAAAGCAGCUGAGGAAAACGCACAGGCUGUGCGGAGUUGUUCAUCUGACAAGGAGGUCUUGGCCGUUCUAAUGUUGCUGUGCCUGGGUACGGGRUGGAGGGGCCAAGGGAGAAUCUGCGAGGUGUUCACGACGUUAUUCUGUUCAAACAGGAGAAGUGGAUCCCUGUUCUUUGUGUGCUGUUAAAUCCUAUUGCAGUUGAGCAGCUUUCUGUGGAGCGAUGGGGGUAUUCCAAAGUCAGGCCGCAAAUGGCCUGCAACUAAUUUAACAUGGGAAUUGAUGUACGUAUACUUAGUGUAAAUACUGCGAGGACUCCCUGUGUUGUACUUGCUGAGGUCCAUAGGAAAAUGAACUCGUUACACAGGUCUGGAUAGGCCUGGAAGGUUGGCAAACAUAUUUUCGGGGUCUUUUUUUAUUUCAGUGUGUUGAUGUAUGGGAAGUGAAAAAAUUUAUGUUUUCCAGUACUAAUUCGUUUCUUUGAGAAAUGGAGUUCUUGCUGUUUGGUUGAGGUUCUCAUGUUUUCAAAGCAAUUCAGAGCUAGUUCCAGUAUCUUGUUCUUGUAUGCCAAGGUGUAAAUUCAGCCAGAGCAUCUAAUCUAAUUAGCAAAUUAACAGUUAAAAUUGUUGAUGGUUUAAGGGUGUUGGUUUGUUUCAUUUAGAAUGCUUCACUUUUUGUGUUCACAGUUUGUCCUUAGAUACGUGGUUUUUUUGGUUUUUUUUUUUU